AUUGAACGCUGGCGGCGUGCUUAACACAUGCAAGUCGAUCGGUAACAGGUGUAGCAAUACAUGCUGACGAGAGGCGGACGGGUGAGGAACGCUUGGGAAUCUGCCUAUCAGCGGGGGACAACCCGGGGAAACUCGGGCUAAUACCGCAUACGCUCUACGGAGGAAAGCCGGGGACCGCAAGGCCUGGCACUGAUAGAUGAGCCCAAGUCGGAUUAGCUAGUUGGCGGGGUAACGGCCCACCAAGGCGACGAUCCGUAGCUGGUCUGAGAGGACGAUCAGCCACACCGGAACUGAGACACGGUCCGGACUCCUACGGGAGGCAGCAGUGGGGAAUAUUGGACAAUGGGGGAAACCCUGAUCCAGCGACGCCGCGUGGGUGAAGAAGGCCUGCGGGUUGUAAAGCCCUUUCGGUAGGGAAGAAAUCUCUUGCUCUAACAAAGCAGGAGUUUGACUUAACCUACAUAAGAAGCACCGGCUAACUCUGUGCCAGCCGCCGCGGUAACAC
rnacentral:rRNA from 1 species